rnacentral:rRNA from 1 species
AUGAACGCUGGCGGCGUGCCUAAUACAUGCAAGUCGAGCGAACGGACGAGAAGCUUGCUUCUCUGAUGUUAGCGGCGGACGGGUGAGUAACACGUGGAUAACCUACCUAUAAGACUGGGAUAACUUCGGGAAGCCGGAGCUAAUACCGGAUAAUAUUUUGAACCGCAUGGUUCAAAAGUGAAAGACGGUCUUGCUGUCACUUAUAGAUGGAUCCGCGCUGCAUUAGCUAGUUGGUAAGGUAACGGCUUACCAAGGCAACGAUGCAUAGCCGACCUGAGAGGGUGAUCGGCCACACUGGAACUGAGACACGGUCCAGACUCCUACGGGAGGCAGCAGUAGGGAAUCUUCCGCAAUGGGCGAAAGCCUGACGGAGCAACGCCGCGUGAGUGAUGAAGGUCUUCGGAUCGUAAAACUCUGUUAUUAGUGAAGAACAUAUGUGUAAGUAACUGUGCACAUCUUGACGGUACCUAAUCAGAAAGCCACGGCUAACUACGUG